ACUGGAGGCUCUAAGCUAGUUCUGUCCACAUUUAUGGUCUCAAAUCCUCACUACAGGUGCUGGCUGCUGUUAUUUUGUUCAACCAGUGUCUUUCUAUCUUCUCCUGAUGAUGUCGUCUCUCGCUUCUUUAAGGGAACUGUGCAUCACCCAUUCCGUGAGGUUUCCCUGACGUAGAUUCUAAGAAUUCUAUUUACAACACUUAGGACACUUUCUCAGUGCGUUCCCCAGUGGAAUGAAAGUGGCUCAAGAGGAAACACUGUGUCUAUAGGCUCACCAUUGUGCCUUCCAUACCCAUCCUGCUGCCUGGCACCUGGUAGGAACUCAAGAAAUGCUUAAAGAAGAAAAGUAAUGAAUGAAAGUGGUCAGAGAUUCCUCACUGGUCAAAAAUGAAAAAUUCGCUAUUCAGAUACAAAGAUACAGUUACAUAGACAUCUCAGAAGCAUGGAAAUAUUUAAUUGGAUGAAUAAAGAGAUCUAGAAAAAUAUUAUCUGAUUUUGACAAAAGAAGAAAGGUGAGAAAGGCAGGGAAACUCCAGAAAAUUGAUGCUAACAGGGGCCUCAAAAAAGCUUGGAUGGUAAACUCACCUGGUGAUGUUUUCAAGAUGGCUGCCUAAGGGGACAGUUUGAGGCCAGGAAAGAGAGAAACUAAGAGACCCAUAUAAGCACCAAACUCAUGACCCUUGACUUAUCAUGGUCUUGCCAAAUGAGUUUUCAGGCUGCAGUGUCCUUACUAUUUGUCCUGUGUCGACAGAAACCACAGAACAAAGCAGGCUGCCUGACUGGGAGGCUGGAGUAGCAGAGGGGCGAGCCCAGAGCUGGGUACUGAAGGGAGUCACAU
rnacentral:lncRNA from 1 species